rnacentral:rRNA from 1 species
AAACUUUUAAAUAAAAAGUUUAAAUAACUUUUACGUGAAUAUACUAAAGAUUCAACGGUUAUAAGGUUAAGCGUUAUUAGAUACUGUUAUUACGGGAAACAUGGCUAA